rnacentral:tRNA from 1 species
GCGGGCAUAGCUCAAUGGUAGAGCUCUAGCCUUCCAAGCUUGUGAUGCGGGUUCGUGCCGCUACCCGCUCCA